CAGCUGUCUGACUCUGCUGUGUACUACUGUGCUCUGCAGCCCACAGUGACAGGAAACAGUAAAACUCUGUACAAAAACCUUUGGAGCAAAGACAACAGAAAACUCCACAACAUCCACUAGAGGGAGACAGACUCUGUUAAAGCUCUGAUUUGUGACUUCUUGUUGAUUGGCUGAGCUGAAAAAACAAAACACAUCGGCUGAAUCCCAAACCACCCCCUACACACUCCCCCUCCACUACCAAGUGUCACUCCAAAAGAAGUCACACUCGCAGCUGUGGAGGGCACCUAUUAUUGAAGGGAGAGGGUAUAAAUACGAUCGUCAGGAAUGGGACACCCCGUCGCCUCACCGGAAAACGGAAGACGUCAUCGCCAUGGUAACACAAAGACGCCUACUGUGCAUGGCUGUAGCGCUGUGGCACAGGUUGCAACUAACAAGGAUCGCUGCUGCUUCCAGAAGAUGAAAGCAUCCCACUUUUUUCACUCACAUGUUUUCCAAUCCUAUUAUCUGGCAUUUCAAAUCCAACAAAUGAAUAAAUGAAUUCUGUCAGUUGUGUUCAAAUUUUAAGGUGUCAGGGGGUGCACAAUUAAAUCAAAUGUCAGCAGAGAAGAAGAUUUGUUUCUUUUGUUUUAUCUUUUUUCACCACUCUUUUUGUGAUGUUCUGUCAGUGUGAAAAAGGCGUGGGAGAAAUAAAGGACACAUGUGGAACUUA